UGGUUCCGUGGUGUAGGGGUUAACAUGCCUGCCUGUCACGCAGGAGAUCGCGGGUUCGAUUCCCGUCGGAACCGUCGU
rnacentral:tRNA from 1 species